AUUGAACGCUGGCGGCAUGCCUUACACAUGCAAGUCGAACGGCAGCGGGGGAGAAGCUUGCUUUUCCUGCCGGCGAGUGGCGAACGGGUGAGUAAUACAUCGGAACGUGCCCUGUAGUGGGGGAUAACUAGUCGAAAGAUUAGCUAAUACCGCAUACGACCUGAGGGUGAAAGUGGGGGACCGCAAGGCCCCAUGCUAUAGGUGCGGCCGAUGUCGGAUUAGCUAGUUGGUGGGGUAAAGGCCUACCAAGGCGACGAUCAGUAGCUGGUCUGAGAGGACGAUCAGCCACACUGGGACUGAGACACGGCCCAGACUCCUACGGGAGGCAGCAGUGGGGAAUUUUGGACAAUGGGCGAAAGCCUGAUCCAGCAAUGCCGCGUGUGUGAAGAAGGCCUUCGGGUUGUAAAGCACUUUUGUCCGGAAAGAAAUGGCUCUGGUUAAUACCUGGGGUCGAUGACGGUACCGGAAGAAUAAGGACCGGCUAACUACGUGCCAGCCGCCGCAGUAA
rnacentral:rRNA from 1 species